rnacentral:rRNA from 1 species
AUUGAACGCUGGCGGCAUGCUUUACACAUGCAAGUCGAACGACAGCGCGGGCUUCGGCCUCGCGGGGCGUUGCGAACGGGUGGGUAAUGCACCGGGACGUGCCCUAUAGUGGGGGAUGGGCCGGCGAAAGCCGAAAUAAUCUCACAUCCGACCUGAUAUUGAAAGGGGGGGACCGAGAGUCCUAGCGGUUUUUGAGGAGCCUAAGUCGGAUUAGCGAGGUGGUGGGGUAAAGGCUUACCAAGGCGGCGAAGCGUAGCUGGGAUGAGAGGACGACCGGCCACCCUGGGACUGAGACACGGCCCAGACUCCUACGGGAGGCAGCAGUGGGGAAUCUUGCACAAUGGGGGAAACCCUGAUCCAGCCAUGCCGCGUGAGGGAAGAAGGCCUUCGGGUUGUAAACCGCUGUUGUUCGGGAAGAAAUACUGUGGGCUAAUCCCCCGGGGUGAUGACGGUACCGGAAGAAUAAGCACCGGCUAACUACGUG